GAGAAUCACCUUCUAUAAAAAGCCCAUUUCAUAAUAGGUGACUGUAUUAUCUUUCCUGUCUUUGGGAGUUGAUGAAAAAGGAACUCAUCACCAGCCACACUGUCUUCAGUAUGACAGGCCAACAUACAGGCUGGAAUACAUCAAUACCAAGUCCCAUUUCUGAGGUUAUGCUUCCAACAGUGCAGUGUCCCGAAGAACACUGAAGGCAGACACUAAUAAAUUUAAGAGAAUAAAUAAAGCUUCCACCAGCUUCAAAGCCACAA